rnacentral:rRNA from 1 species
UUGGAGGGCAAGUCUGGUGCCAGCAGCCGCGGUAAUUCCAGCUCCAAUAGCGUAUAUUAAAGUUGUUGCAGUUAAAAAGCUCGUAGUUGAAUUUCGGGAUUGGCGUGUCGGUCGUGCCUUACGGGGUAUGAACUGGCGUCGUCGAUUUCUCACCUUCUGGAGAAUCACGAUGCCCUUAAUUGGGUGUCGUGUGGAACCAGGACCUUUACCUUGAAAAAAUUAGAGUGUUUAAAGCAGGCAUUUUGCUCGAAUACAUUAGCAUGGAAUAAUAAAAUAGGACGGCUUGGUUCUAUUUUGUUGGUUUCUAGGAUCACCGUAAUGAUUAAUAGGGAUAGUUGGGGGCAUUAGUAUUCAAUUGUCAGAGGUGAAAUUCUUGGAUUUAUUGAAGACUAACUACUGCGAAAGCAUUUGCCAAGGAUGUUUUCAUUAAUCAAGAACGAAAGUUAGGGGAUCGAAGACGAUCAGAUACCGUCGUAGUCUUAACCAUAAACUAUGCCGACUAGGAAUCAGACGAUGUUAAUUUUUUAAUGAAUCGUUGGCACCUUACGGGAAAC